rnacentral:rRNA from 1 species
UACAGAGGUCCCAAGCGUUUGUUCGGAUUCACUGGGCGUAAAGGGUGCGUAGGCGGCGCGGGUAGUCAACGGUGAAAGCUUGGGGCUCAACCCCGAGUCGGCCGUCGAUACUCCCGUGCUUGAGCACUGUAGAGGCAGGUGGAAUUCCGGGUGUAGCGGUGGAAUGCGUAGAGAUCCGGAAGAACACCGGUGGCGAAGGCGGCCUGCUGGGCAGUAGCUGACGCUGAUGCGCGACAGCGUUGGGGAGCAAACAAGG